GCUCCAGGCUCUGAGCCAUCAGCCCAGAGCCUGACGCGGGGCUCGAACUCACAGACCGCGAGAUCGUGACCUGGCUGAAGUCGGACGCUUAACCGACUGCGCCACCCAGGCGCCCCUGGUUUCUCCUUUCAAGUAACAAACUCAGUUUCCUUGAUCUUUUCUCUUUUUUUUCUUUCUCUAUUACAUUUAUUUCUACUGCCAUCUCUAUUUCCUUCCUUCUGCUAACUUUGGGAUUCAUUUUUUUUUUUUUUUAUCCUUCUAGGUUUGAGGUUGGGUUGUUUAUUUGACAUCUUUCCAAUUUCUUAAUAUAUGCAUCCAUGACUAUAAACUUCCCUCUCAGAAGUGCUCUUGCAACAGCCCAUAGGUCUUGCCCUGUUGUGUUUCCAUUUUCGUUUAGGGAUGUUUUUUGCUCCUGUUACAAAUGUUUUCUUGGGUCACGUGUUGUUCACCAGUGUUCUGUUGAGCACCUGCAGCCUCUGGAAGGGACACAGCCCUGCUGACACCUUCACGUGGCCCGGUGGGACCGUGUCAGCCUUCUCCGCACAGAACCGCCCGGGCAUAAACAAACACUGUUGUCAACACUGAGUUCGUGGCGGUUUAUUUCACAGGAAGCUGGAAGAGUGGAAAGUGGGGUACAAAGCUAUAGCUGGAACGGGCUGACUUCCAUCCAAGAAAGGAGCUGCUCGAGGCGCCCGCCCUCCUGGACACGUGGCUCCUUCCUCGUCUGUGGAGCCCACACCUGCCACUAGGGUCCUUACUCAGCGCCUGAGCUGAUGCUAAUUAUUGGCUUCCCUCGUCCACACCUCAGAAGCCUGCGGCUGUACUGGCGAGUGUGGACAGCGCCGGCGUGGAUGCCAGUGCGCACACCUUCCAGGGCCCAGCUUCUGUUGCUUCGGCCUGCGCGCACCGCGCUGGCGUCGCCGGGUCCUUCUUCCUGCGCGCGGGGGCGCUGGGACGGCCGGCUCAGUGAGCGAUUCUGGGCUCACUUUCUGGGGAACUGCCACCCGGUUUACUCUCGCCCCGCCCCUGCAUUAAUUAGGGUUCCAGUUUCUCCACUUCCGCCCGGCACCUGUUACUUUCCUUAAACAAUGUUCUAAAUAUAUACAAGCCAUCCCAGUGAGCUUGCGGGGCUGCCUCAGCGGCGUUUUGGUUUCCAUGUCCUUCCCUGGACUCCUGAUCCCGCACGACAGGGCCCAGGAGCAGCCGGCAGACGGAGAAAGGCACUGAGCGCCCGGGGAAGAGAAGAACCGGGAUGUAUGGAGACCCAUGGCAGGUGCACUUGGGGGCCUCCCUGAGUAAGGCGGGUGACAGGUGUCAGUGAGAGCCGGAGGGCCUGUUCCCAGAGGGCAGCUGGGAAUGUGGGGCCGCAGGAUAGGGGAGGCGGGAAAUUACACCCUGGAGCCCUCCACUGAAAUGUCAAAUCGAAGCCCCCAGAUGCUGAGAUCACCAAAGGGAGAAGCGCGAGUACCGCUUAAUGGCCUGAGCGGAGCGCUUGGAGCCGCUGAACUGGGGGUGAGGGGGAGGAAUAGAAAAAGGGGGGCAGGUAUGGGGUGACACGGGACCCUGUCUGAGAACCGCGGGGGACUGAGGAAGCAGUGGGGCGGGAGGAGAGGCACCAUUAUGUGCAUCAGCCCCGGAGGCAAAGCUGGGACAGAGCCUGGCUGACUUGGGAGAGGCGGGGACAGUGGGCACAGUGGGGAUGGAGGGCUAUGAGGAUAGCAGAUCCUGGCGGGGGUGGAGCCCAGCGGGAGGUGCCGGUGGGACCCACAGGACUCUGAGGGAUGGACGUGGGGCGGGCUCAGGGGGACUCAAGGACCCCAUGUGUUCUCUGACCCGGGGCUGAUGGCCUUCAGAGAAAGGGGAAGAGGGAGCUGGCGACAGUUGUUGUGGGCGAGAAUCUCAGUCUGGCGGGCUGGGCUGGACCUGAGGCGUCCUCGGGGAUCUGCAGCCAUGGGCUGUCCUCAUGCAGCUGAGGACAGCUUUGGUCUCUGCACCUCGGGGCCUGCACCUCGGGGCACUUCCCUCCCGGAAGGAGCAGGACUCCGUCCAGGGCUGCCCCAGAGAGCGUGUGCAUGGGACUCACCCUCCUGCACGUGGAUCGCCUGGUGAGGCAGAGCGCUGCAAGAGAAGCCCGGUGAGGGACACAGUAGCCACCGGUUCCCUCCCCAGGGGUCAGCAUGCUGCCGACAAGGAUGUAGCCGUGUGACCUUCACACCUCCCCAAGUCAGCAGGACCCCCCGUCCCCCAACAUAGCUGCCUCCCCUGUCUCUGGCUGCAGACAAGUCUCUGGGACUCCCAACCAGACGCCCCCCUCGCCUUGCCUGUGUCUGGCCCCCCUCGCCCCCUGCUGUCCCAACCUCUAGCACACCUGUCAGAGGCCCCGGGCCCCACGCUGCUGGCUCAGGCCCAGGGGACAGAGCAGCAGGGCCUGCAGAGACCGUCCUCCCUGAGGGCCAACUGAGAGAGGCCUUGACUUCUGGAAGCCGUUUCUAGUGAGAUAUCACAUCACCAGGCUGAACACCUGUCAGAAGGAGGCCCACCUGGUAUUAACCCGUGACGGACAGAGACAGAGAUGAUGGGAAGGUAGAGAUAAGGAGAUGAUGGAUGCCUCGACGGAACAGAAGGUCCAGACCCAUGGGCUGUGCCGUGAGACACAAGCCAGGAAGCAGCCGUGCGGAUUCAGGGUCGGUGCGGCCCCAGCGGAGGGCGUCCCCCACCCACUGCGGGGAAUCUGGGGUCUGAGGUCAGAGCCACCCUCCCCGGAAGAGCACUUCUCUUUCUCCGUGAGAGCAACCAGCCUGGAUUCCCAGAGAAGCAGGAAGAAAAUGUGGAGACGCUCUCUGUGCAAACUCACCUACGGAAAGACCCCAGCUCCUGCCAUGUCCUGCCUCCCACAUAGUGACCCGUGUUAGGGUGAUGUUGCCCUGCAUGUACGUGUGUACAUGUGUGCAUGUGUGUGUGUGUGUGUGUAGUAGAACGGGAAGCAUUGCAGGUCAGCCAAAGAAAUAAAAUGACUUUGUCUAUCA